AUUGAACGCUGGCGGCAGGCCUAACACAUGCAAGUCGAGCGGAUGAAGGGAGCUUGCUCCUGGAUUCAGCGGCGGACGGGUGAGUAAUGCCUAGGAAUCUGCCUGGUAGUGGGGGAUAACGUCCGGAAACGGGCGCUAAUACCGCAUACGUCCUGAGGGAGAAAGUGGGGGAUCUUCGGACCUCACGCUAUCAGAUGAGCCUAGGUCGGAUUAGCUAGUUGGUGGGGCAAAGGCCUACCAAGGCGACGAUCCGUAACUGGUCUGAGAGGAUGAUCAGUCACACUGGAACUGAGACACGGUCCAGACUCCUACGGGAGGCAGCAGUGGGGAAUAUUGGACAAUGGGCGAAGGCCUGAUCCAGCCAUGCCGCGUGUGUGAAGAAGGUCUUCGGAUUGUAAAGCACUUUAAGUUGGGAGGAAGGGCAGUAAGUUAAUACCUUGCUGUUUUGACGUUACCAACAGAAUAAGCACCGGCUAACUUCGUG
rnacentral:rRNA from 1 species